rnacentral:rRNA from 1 species
UACGGGCGUAGCGAGCGUUGUUCGGAAUUAUUGGGUGUAAAGGGUGCGCAGGCGGUCGUUUAAGUCGGAAGUGAAAUGUCCACGGCUCAACCGGGAAUCUGCUUCCGAUACUGGACGACUUGAGUGCGGGAGGGGAGCGUGGAAUUCCUGGUGUAGCGGUGAAAUGCGUAGAUAUCAGGAGGAACACCUGUGGCGAAGGCGACGCUCUGGCCCGUAACUGACGCUCAUGCACGAAAGCCAGGGGAGCGAACGGG